AAACUAUUCAAUCCAUUCAUUCAUUCAAUCAAUCAAACAUUCCCUUAGUCAUUUCAUUUCCCUCUCCUCGAAAACAAGAAACAAAACUAAAAUAAAAGAUAGCAUCUCUCUUUCUCUCUCUCUCUCUCCCUCUCUCUUCAAUGGCGGAUACAUCCGGACGAGCCGAGCACAGCGGCAGCCGGCCUAGACGACGGUGUAGAGGAUGAUCUUCGUGGCGUCGACGGCGGCGCGCUGCUGCCUCUUCAUCAUGGCCAGGGCGCCGGCAACCGUGCCUCCCGCAGGCACCAUCCCGCCGCCGUCGCCGGCACCGGGGGCGGCCGAGGAGGCGGGAGGGUGGUAGUAGAACCGGGCCGUCUGCGGACAGUGGGAGUGGAACCGCACCGCGAUGCGCACCCCCAUGUCCAGUAGCUCCACGUACUUCCCCAUGGAUCUCGCUCGAAUCUGGCCUCCUUCCUCUCUCUCUCUGCUCGACGAAGAUUGAUGGCCGGGACGGACGGACGGAGAGGACGGAGAGGGCGGCCGGGAACUGGGAAGGACGGCGGAGCGGACGGCGGUGCUAGGCGGUGGUCUCGUGGAACGGGGAGGCCCAGGAACUGGCGGCGGCCAUGGGAGGGGUGGAGGAGAGCAGGGGCGCGAGAGUCGUCGUCGGCACGUGCGCAUGCGCCCGCGCCCACGGCGGCGGGGACAGAGACGGGCGCAGGUAGAGCGUGAGCCCGGCCGCCGCCAUUUGGUUGACUAGGUUUGAUGGAGCGCGGAUGAGCGCAAUCGGAGAGGCUGGACGAGCGAGCGAUGUGGGCGGGGGCGGGCGACCUGGGCGAGGCGGGCGAGCAGGGCGAUUGACCAAGAGACGACGUGGGGUGGGCAAUUAGCGUUAACGAAAACUGUUUAGUUUCGUUAACGACGUUUUUAGUCCCUUGAUGGUGUAAUCAGACGGUCCAGAUCUAUAGUUGGAUCUGCCCUCUCGUGCUUUUAAUAGUACAGAUGUGCCAACAACUGAAUAACCAACACGUGCUUGCUAUCAGGAGAACAAGCACAUUGUAGCUUGUCGAUGAGCUCACCAACAUAAGCACAUAAACUGCACCAUAGACAAAAUAUCCAACACCCUCUAGUAGUUGCACCUACCAGCAGGAAUACAACAUCGCAGACUUGUAACUGAUUUCAUCUCUAUGUAUUGCUUUGAAACCCCUCUUUGCGUGUUGAUCAUCCGGUGGACGCCAAAACUGCAGAUGUGUACCAAACAAACAACUAAAAGGCCUCAUCCCCAGAUCAGUCCAUACGCACUCAGCCUCGCAUUCCAGAGGUGGGUUGUCAAGGACAAAGCUUUCACGAUGGUAUUGAUCUAGGUUGCUGGCAAUCUGAGCUCCCUUGGUGGCACACUGAUGAUAUGACAAUGUUGAUGCAGUACUCAGGGGGUCAACGAAAACAUCAACACUGUGAGCAGCAUACAUUGGUGUAAUUUGGUCAAGCAAAAACGCAACAUAAGUCGCACUAGUUCUCUCCACACAUAUAGUUUGGUCAGUACAUCCUGAGGAAAGCACACAGAACAAAGAGAAGGGAACAUGACACCUCUUGCUAGGCACAAGUUAGUUCUGAGAGUAAUUGGAAAUGACAUAUUCAGGGGCCCCAUAACACACUCUCUCCAGAAUUAUUUCGUAGAUGUUUGCCAAAUAACCAUGUUGUUUUGGUUGCUCUCAACCUGAGAAGUUCCAAGUCCAAACAUGAGAACAACAUGUACGGAAACGUUGCAUGGGAAAUAAAUAAAAAUCUACGCACACAUAAGAUCUAUCUAUGGAGAUGACCAUCUACGAGAGGAGAGAUUGGAUCCACCUACCCUUGUAGAUCUCUAAGAGAGAAGCGUUAAGAAAUGCGGUUGAUGUAGUCGAACGUCUUCGGGAUCCAAAUCGCAAGUCGUCCCGCGAUCCAAUCACGAUCUAGCGCCGAACGAACAACACCUCCACGUUCAGCACACGUGCAGCUCGAUGAUGAUCUCCGUCUUCUUGAUCCAGAAAAAGAGACGAAGAGGUAGCUGAAUUCUCUGACAGCACGACGGCGUGACGGCGAUGAUGGUGGAGCUAAUCCAACACGGCUUCGCCGUGCACUACCGGAAUAACCUACGGGGUGUCACGAAGUAGUGGAGGGAGAGGGGUUGCGCCGUGGCUUAAGGUGCGGUAGUCUCUCUCCCCUCCAUUAUAUAUAGGAGGGAGGGAGUGGUGGUGCCCUAGGGAAAACCCCUAGGGUUCGUCCGGCGCACACAAGGAGGGAGGAGUCCUCCUCCAAUUCGGUUUGGUGGAGGAGGAGUCCUCCUAGUGGGUUUGCCCCACCUCCUCUCUCUUUGGCGCAUAGGCCCAUUAGGCUGGCCGCCCAGCCCACUAGGGGUUGGUGUGCCACCUUUUGGGUCUAUGUGGCCCUCUUGAGCUUGCGUUGGUUUUUCCCUUGAAGAGGAAAGGGUGAUGCAGCACAGUAGUAGUAAGUAUUUCCCUCAGUUUGAGAACCAAGGUAUCAAUCCAGUAGGAGUAUCAAGACAAGUCACCAAUGUACCUGUGCAAAAACAAACAAACUUGCACCCAACGCUAUAAAGGCGUUGUCAAUCCCUUCACGAUUAAUUGCAAGGUGAUAUCUGAAGGUGGAAAGUGCAACAAAGUAAAAGUGUAGAGCUGAAAAUAUGAUGUGAAGUAGACCCGGGGGGCCAUAGUGUUCACUAGAGGCUUCUCUCAUGAUAGCAAGUAUUAUGGUGGGUGAACGAAUUACUGUCGAGCAAUUGAUAGAACCGCGCAAAGCCAUGAUGAUAUCUAAGGCAAUGAUCAUACAUAUAGGCAUCACGUCCGAGACAAGUAGACCGAUGCUAUGUGCAUCUACUACUAUUACUCCACACAUCGACCGCUAUCGAGCAUGCAUCUAGGGUAUUGAGUUCAUAACGAACAAAAUAACGCCUUAAGCAAGAUGACAUGAUGUAGAGGGAUAAAUUCAUGCAAUAGAUAUAAACCCCAUCUUUUUACCCUUGAUGGCAACAACACGAUGCGUGCCUCGCUACCCCUUCUGUCACUGGGUGAGGACACCGCACGGUAUGAACCCAAAACCAAGCACUUCUCUCAUUGCAAGAAUUAUAGAUCAAGUUGGCCAAACAAAACCCACAACUCGAACAGAAUUACAAGGAUACGAAAUCAUGCAUAUAAGAGAUCAGAGGAGACUCAAAUAAUAUUCAUAGAUAAUAUGAUCAUAAAUCCACAAUUCAUCGGAUCUCGACGAACACACCGCAAAAGAAGAUUACAUCGGAUAGAUCUCCAUGAAGAUCAUGGAGAACUUUGUAUUGAAGAUCCAAGAGAGAGAAGAAGCCAUCUAGCUACUAGCUAUGGACCCGAAGGUCUGUGGUGAACUACUCACGCAUCAUCGGAGAGGCAAUGGUGUUGAUGAAGAACCAUCCGUGUCCGAAUCCCCCUUCCGGCAGGGCACCAGAACGAUCCCCAGAUGGGAUCUUGCGGAGACAGAAGCUUGCGGCGGCGGAAAAGUUUUUUCGUGGCUCUCUCUCGCAGUUUUGGAUUUUUAGAGAAUUUAUAGGCGGAAGAAGUAGGGCAAAGGAGCCACGGGGGGCCCACAGGCCUGCUAGGCGCCCCCCCGGCCGCGGCUAGUAGGCUUGUGACCUCCCCCGGGGUCCUUUGCCUUGGUUCUCAAGUCCCGUGCGUAUCUUCUGUUAUGGAAAAAAUCAUUCCCCGGGUUUUAUUCCAUUUGGACUCCGUUUAAUAUUCUCCUGUGAAAAAGGUCAAAACACGGAAAAAACAGAAACUGGCACUUGGCACUGAGUUAAUAGGUUAGUCCCAAAAAAGAUAUAAAAUAGCAUAUUCAUGCAUACAAAACAUCCAAAGUUGACAAGAUAAUAGCAUGGAACCAUCAAAACUUAUAGAUACGUUGGAGACGUAUCAAUGUGCUAUGGAACGAGUAAAGAGACUUACCGGUAACGAGAUUGAACAAGGUAUGGGUAUACCGACGAUCGAAUCUCGGGCAAGUUCUAUACCGACAGACAAAGGGAAUUGUAUACGGGAUUGGUUGAAUCCUUGACAUCGUGGUUCAUCCGAUGAGAUCAUCGUGGAACAUGUGGGAGACACAAUGGGUAUCCAGAUCCUGCUGAUGGUUAUUGGCCGGAGAGUGUCUCGGUCAUGUGUGCAUGCCUCCCGAACCCGUAGGGUCUACACACUUAAGGUUCGAUGACGCUAGGGUUAUAGGGAAUUGUUAUACGGGGUUACCUAAGGUUGUUCGGAGUCUCGGAUGAGAUCCCAGACGUCACGAGGAGCUUCGAAAUGGUCCGGAGGUAAAGAUUGAUAUAUAGGAUGGAUGGGUUUGGACACCCACCAUCGGCGAAGUGUCGGGACCAUCGGAAGGGUUCCGGAGGCCCACCGAGAGGGGCCACAAGCCCCGGAAGUCUAUAUGGGCCAAGUGUGGGAGGGAACCAGCCCCUGGGUGGGCUGGUGCGCCCCCACACCCAGCCCAUGGCGCACCAGAGAGGAAGGGGGAACCCUAGGCACUGGUGGGCCUAAGGCCCACCAGGGGUGCGCCACCCCUCUCCUGCCCUGGCUGCCACCCCCCUCUCCCAUCUAGGCUGCCGCCACCCCUAGGGUGGGAACCCUAGAGGUGGCGCACCCCUCCCCUCUCCUCUUAUAAAUAGAGAGGGGUUUGGGGCGGUUGGAGACACAAGUUGAUCUCUCCCUCGGCGCAGCCCUGUCCCUCUUGUUCCUCCUCUCCCACGGUGCUUGGUGAAGCCCUGCCGGGAGACCUCGACUCUCCAUAGGAAGAUCUGAAUAUGGCGUAGGAAAAUUUUGAAUUUAUGCUACGUCCCCAUCAGUGGCAUCAGAGCCAGGUUUUCUAUGCGUAGAUUCCAUGCACGAGUAGAACACAAAAGGUUGUGGGCGCUGAUUUGUCAAUUGCUUGCCACUAUUAGUCUUAUUCUUUUCCGACGGUAUUGUGGGAUGAAGCGGCCUGGACCGACCUUACACGUACGCUUACGUGAGACAAGUUCCAUCGGCCGACAUGCACACCAUGCAUAAAGGUGGCUAGCGGGUGUCUGUCUCUCCCACUCUAGUCGGAUUGGAUUUGAUGAAAAGGGUCCUUAUGAAGGGUAAAUAGCUUUGGCAUAUCAUCGUUGUGGCUGUCACGUAGGUCAGAAGGCGCUCUUGCUAGAAACCCAAGUCAGCCACGUAAAACUUGCAACAACAAUUAGAGGACGUCUAACUUGUUUUUGCAGGGUUUGACAUGUGAUGUGAUAUGGCCAAAGUUGUGAUGUUACAUGUGUGAUGUAUGAGAUGAUCAAGUUAUUGUAAUAGGAUUCACGACUUGCAUGUCGUUGAGUAUGACAACCGGCAGGAGCCAUAGAAGUUGUCUUAAUUUAUUGUAUGAGAUGCAAUGCCAUGUGUUUACUACUUUUACUUCAUUGCUAACGGUUAGCUAUAGUAGUAGUAGUAGUAGUAGUAGUACUAGUAGUAGUAGUAGUAGUAGUAGUAGUAGUUGGCGUGACGACUUCACGGAGACACGAUGACGGUGAUCAUGAUGAUGGAGAUCAUGGUGUCACGCCGGUGACAAUGUGUUGGAAUUAUGCCCUAGAGGCAAUAAUAAAUAUAGUUAUUAUUAUAAUUCCUGUAUCAAGAUAAUCGUUUAUUAUCCAUGCUAUAAUUGUAUUGAAUGAAGACUCAUUUACAUGUGUGGAUACAUAGACAAAACACCGUCCCUAGCAAGCCUCUAGUUGGCUAGCCAGUUGAUCAAAGAUAGUCAGUGUCUUCUGAUUAUGAACAAGGUGUUGUUGCUUGAUAACUGGAUCACGUCAUUAGGAGAAUCACGUGAUGGACUAGACCCAAACUAAUAGACGUAGCAUGUUGAUCGUGUCAUUUUGUUGCUACUGUUUUUCUGCGUGUCAAGUAUUUAUUCGUAUGACCAUGAGAUCAUAUAACUCACUGACACCGGAGGAAUGCUUUGUGUGUAUCAAACGUCGUAACGUAACUGGGUGACUAUAAAGAUGCUCUACAGGUAUCUCCGAAGGUGUUAGUUGAGUUAGUAUGGAUCAAGACUGUGAUUUGUCACUCCGUGUGACGGAGAGGUAUCUUGGGGCCCACUCGGUAAUACAACAUCACACACAAGCCUUGCAAGCAAUGUAACUUAGUGUAAGUUGCGGGAUCUUGUAUUACGGAACGAGUAAAGAGACUUGCCGGUGAACGAGAUUGAAAUAGGUAUGCGGAUAUUAACGAUCGAAUCUCGGGCAAGUAACAUACCGAAGGAUAAAGGGAAUGACAUACGGGAUUAUAUGAAUCCUUGGCACUGAGGUUCAAACGAUAAGAUCUUCGUAGAAUAUGUAGGAUCCAAUAUGGGCAUCCAGGUCCCGCUAUUGGAUAUUGACCGAGGAGUCUCUCGGGUCAUGUCUACAUAGUUCUCAAACCCGCAGGGUCUGCACACUUAAGGUUCGACGUUGUUUUAUGCGUAUUUGAGUUAUAUGGUUGGUUACCGAAUGUUUUUCGGAGUCCCGGAUGAGAUCACGGACGUCACGAGGGUUUCCGGAAUAGUCCGGAAACGAAGAUUGAUAUAUAGGAUGACCUCAUUUGAUUACCGGAAGGUUUUCGGAGUUACCGGGAAUGUACCGGGAAUGACGAAUGGGUUCCGGGAGUUCACCGGGGGGGGGGGGGCAACCCACCCCGGGGAAGCCCAUAGGCCAUAAGGGUGGCGCACCAGCCCUUAGUGGGCUGGUGGGACAGCCCAAAAGGGCCCUAUGCGCCAUACAAAGAAAAAUCAAAGAGAAAGGAAAAAAAARGGGAGGUGGGAAGGAAGGGAAGGACUCCCACCCACCAAACCAAGUCCAACUCGGUUUGGGGGGGGGGACCUUCCCCCCUUGGACUCGGCCGACCCCCUUGGGGCUCUUUGAGCCCCAAGGCAAGGUCCCCUCCCUCCCACCUAUAUAUACGGAGGUAUUGGGGCUGAUUUGAGAUGACUUUUCCACGGCAGCCCGACCACAUACCUCCACGGUUUUUCCUCUAGAUCGCGUUUCUGCAAACUCCAGCGAUCCAUUUAUGGACUGGUGCAAGCAUCUCGGAGUUGGAACAAACGCUUUGAUGAGGUGAUCAAAGCAUUUGGGUUUAUACAAGUGGUUGGAGAAUCUUGUAUUUACAAGAAAGUGAGUGGGAGCUCUGUGGCGUUUCUAAUAUUAUAUGUGAAUGACAUAUUGCUGAUUGGAAACAACGUAGAGUUUUUGGAGAUCAUAAAAGGUUACUUGAAUAAAAGUUUCUCUAUGAAGGACCUACGAGAAGCUGCUUACAUUCUAGGCAUUAAGAUCUAUAGGGAUAGAUCAAAAUGCCUGAUAGGACUUUCACAAAGCACAUACCUUGAUAAAGUUUUGAAGAGGUUCAAAAUGGAACAGUCCAAGAAAGGGUUCUUGCCAGUUCUACAAGGUACGAGAUUGAGUAAGACUCAGUGCCCAGCAACUGAUGAAGAUAGAGAGCAUAUGCGCUCCGUCCCCUAUGCUUGAGCCAUGGGUUCUAUCAUGUAUGCGAUGCUGUGCACUAGACCGGAUGUUAGCCUGGCCAUAAGUAUGGCAGGUAGGUUCCAGAGUAAUCCAGGAGUGGAUCACUGGACAGCGGUCAAGAAUAUCCUGAAGUACCUGAAAAGGACUAAGGAGAUGUUUCUCGUGUAUGGAGGUGACGAAGAGCUCGCCGUAAAAGGUUAUGUCGAUGCAAGCUUUGACACAGAUCCGGAUGACUCUAAGUCGCAAACCGAUACGUAUUUAUUCUUAAUGGGGGUGCGGUAAGCUGGUGCAGUUCCAAGCAAAGCGUCGUAGCAGAUUCUACAUGUGAAGCGGAGUACAUGGCUGCCUUGGGAGGCGGCUAAGGAGGGUGUCUGGAUGAAGCAGUUCAUGACGGAUCUUGGAGUGGUGCCAAGCGCACUGAAUCCAAUAACCUUGUUCUGUAUAACACGGGUGCCAUUGCCUUAGCAAAGGAACCACGGUUUCACAAGAAGACCAGACACAUCAAACGACGCUUCAACCUCAUCCGCGACUACGUCGAGGGAGAGGACGUAAAUAUAUGCAAAGUGCACACGGAUCUGAAUGUAGCAGACCCGCUGACUAAACCUCUUCCACGGCCAAAGCAUGAUCAACACCAGAACUGUAUGGGUGUUAGAUUUAUUACAAUGUAAUUCACAUGAUGAUGUGAGGGCUAGAUUAUUGACUCUAGUGCAAGUGGGAUACUGUUGGAAUUAUGCCCUAGAGGCAAUAAUAAAUAUAGUUAUUAUAAUUCCUGUAUCAAGAUAAUCGUUUAUUAUCCAUGCUAUAAUUGUAUUGAAUGAAGACUCAUUUACAUGUGUGGAUACAUAGACAAAACACCGUCCCUAGCAAGCCUCUAGUUGGUUAGCCAGUUGAUCAAAGAUAGUCAGUGUCUUCUGAUUAUGAACAAGGUGUUGUUGCUUGAUAACUGGACCACGUCAUUAGGAGAAUCACGUGAUGGACUAGACCCAAACUAAUAGACGUAGCAUGUUGAUCGUGUCAUUUUGUUGCUACUGUUUUUUUGCGUGUCAAGUAUUUAUUCCUAUGACCAUGAGAUCAUAUAACUCACUGACACCGGAGGAAUGCUUUGUGUGUAUCAAACGUCGCAACGUAACUGGGUGACUAUAAAGAUGCUCUACAGGUAUCUCCGAAGGUGUUAGUUGAGUUAGUAUGGAUCAAGACUGGGAUUUGUCACUCCGUGUGACGAAGAGGUAUCUCGGGGCCCACUCGGUAAUACAACAUCACACACAAGCCUUGCAAGCAAUGUAACUUAGUGUAAGUUGCGGGAUCUUGUAUUACGGAACGAGUAAAGAGACUUGCCGGUGAACGAGAUUGAAAUAGGUAUGCGGAUACUGACGAUCGAAUCUCGGGCAAGUAACAUACCGAAGGAUAAAGGGAAUGACAUACGGGAUUAUAUGAAUCCUUGGCACUGAGGUUCAAACGAUAAGAUCUUCGUAGAAUAUGUAGGAUCCAAUAUGGGCAUCCAGGUCCUGCUAUUGGAUAUUGACCGAGGAGUCUCUCGGGUCAUGUCUACAUAGUUCUCGAACCCGCAGGGUCUGCACACUUAAGGUUCGACGUUGUUUUAUGCGUAUUUGAGUUAUAUGGUUGGUUACCGAAUGUUGUUCGGAGUCCCGCGUGAGAUCACGGACGUCACGAGGGUUUCCGGAAUAGUCCGGAAACGAAGAUUGAUAUAUAGGAUGACCUCAUUUGAUUACCGGAAGGUUUUCGGAGUUACCGGGAAUGUACCGGGAAUGACGAAUGGGUUCCGGGAGUUCACCGGGGGGGGCAACCCACCCCGGGGAAGCCCAUAGGCCAUAAGGGUGGCGGCACCAGCCCUUAGUGGGCUGGUGGGACAGCCCAAAAGGGCCCUAUGCGCCAUACAAGAAAAAUCAAAGAGAAAGGAAAAAAAAAGGGAGGURGGGAAGGAAGGGAAGGACUACCCGACCCACCAAACCAAGUCCAACUCGGUUUGGGGGGGGGAGCCUUCCCCCCUUGGACUCGGCCAACCCCCUUGGGGCUCCUUGAGCCCCAAGGCAAGGUCCCCUCCCUCCCACCUAUAUAUACGGAGGUAUUGGGGCUGAUUUGAGAUGACUUUUCCACGGCAGCCCGACCACAUACCUCCACGGUUUUUCCUCUAGAUCGCGUUUCUGCGGAGCUCGAGCGGAGCCCUGCUGAGACAAGGUCAUCACCAACCUCCGGAGCGCCAUCACGAUGCCGGAGAACUCUUCUACCUCUCCGUCUCUCUUGCUGGAUCAAGAAGGCCGAGAUCAUCGUCGAGCUGUACGUGUGCUGAACGCGGAGGUGCCGUCCGUUCGAUACUAGAUCGUGGGACUGAUCGCGGGAUUGUUCGCGGGGCGGAUCGAGGGACGUGAGGACGUUCCACUACAUCAACCGCGUUCACUAAUGCUUCUGCUGUACGAUCUACUAGGGUACGUAGAUCACUCAUCCCCUCUCGUAGAUGGACAUCACCAUGAUAGGUCUUCGUGCGCGUAGAAUUUUUUUUGUUUCCCAUGCGACGUUCUCCAACACAAUGAUGAUCAUGCGAUGCCCGAAGAUGGAGAUCCAAAGAGCAAAGAUGACAAUGGCCAUAUCAUGUCAGUAUAUGAUUGCAUGUGAUGUUUAUCAUGUUUUUCAUCUUAUUGCUUAGAACGAUGGUAGCAUAAUAAGAUGACCCCUCAUUAAAAUUUCGAGAACGUAUUCCCCCAAGUGUGCACCAUUGCGAAGGAUCGUUGUCUCAAAGCACCACGUGAUGAUCGGGUGUGAUAGAUUCUAACGUUCGCAUACAACGGGUGUAAGCCAGAUUUACACACGUGAAACACUUAGGUUGACUCGGCGAGCUUAGCAUGUACACACAUGACCUCGAAUACAAGAGACCGAAAGGUCGAACAUGAGUCGUAUGGUUGAAUACGAUCAACAUGAAGUUGCUCACCAUUACGACUAGUCCGUCUCACAUGAUGAUCGGACACGGAUCAACAUGAAGUUGCUCAACAUGGAUCAUGUAUCACUUAGAUGACUAGAGGGAUGUCGAUUUAAGUGGGAGUUCAUACUUAAUUUGAUUAAAUGAACUUAAUUCUCAUGAACUUAGUCUAAAAGUUGUCUUUACAAAUAUUGUAGAUCCAAUGGCCAACGCACCUGUCAACCUCAAUUUCAACGCAUUCCUAGAGAAAAACAAGCUGAAAGAUGAUGGUAGCAACUAUGCGGACUAGGUCCGCAACUUGAAGCUCAUCCUCGAAGCAGCUAAAAAGGCUUAUGUCCUUAAUGCACCGCUAGGUGACCCUCCUGCUCCCGCAGCGGCCCAGGACAUUCAGAACGUCUGGCAGACGUGGAGUUAUGACUACUCUCUGGUUAGGUGUGGCAUGUUAUACAGUUUGGAAACAGGGCUCCAAAGGCGUUUUGAGCAAUACAGAGCAUAUGAGAUGUUCCAGGAGCUGAAACUAGUUUUUCAAGCUCAUGCCCGUGUUGAGAGAUAUGAAGUCUCCGACAAGUUCUUUAGCUGUAAGAUGGAGGAGAACAGUUCUGUUAGUGAGCAUAUACUGAGAAUGUCUGGGUUACACGGACGUCUGACUUUGCUUGGAGACGAACUUCCGGAUGACGCUGUAAUUGACAGAAUCCUCCGGUCUCUCCCUCCAAGAUACAAGGGUUUUGUGCUGAAAUACAACAUGCAAGGGAUCGAGAAGACCAUUCCCGAGUUGUACUCGAUGCUGAAAUCUGCAGAAGUAGAAAUCGAGAAAGAGCAUCAAGUGUUGAUGGUCAACAAGACCACCAGUUUCAAGAAGGCGAAGGGUAAGAAGAACUUCAAGAAAGACGGCAAAGCCGUUGCCGCACCCAGUAAGCCAGAUACCAGGUAGAAGAAAAAGAAUGGAUCCAAGCCUGAGACUGAGUGCUUCUACUGCAAGGGAAAAGGUCACUGGAAGCGGAACUGCCCCAAGUACUUAGCGGACAAGAAGGCUGACAACGUUAAAGGUAUAUAUGAUAUACAUAUUAUUGAUGUGUACCUUACCACCACUCGUAGUAGCUCCUGGGUAUUUGAUACCGGUGUUGUUGCUCACAUUUGCAACUCAAAGCAGGAACUGCGGAAUAAGCGGAGACUGGCCAAGGGCGAGGUGACAAUGCACGUCGGGAAUGGCUCCAAGGUCGAUGUGAUUGUCGUUGGCACGCUGCCUCUACAUCUACCAUCGGGAUUAGUUUUAAACCUUAAUAAUUGUUAUUUAGUACCAUCUUUGAGCAUGAAUAUUGUAUCAGGGUCUUGCUUAAUGCGAGAGGGCUACUCAUUUAAGUCAGAAAAUAAUGGUUCUUCUAUUUAUAUGAGUGAUAUGUUUUAUGGACAUGCUCUGCUGGUGAAUGGUUUAUUCUUGAUGAAUCUCGAUCGUGAUGUUACACAUUUUCAUAGUGUGAGUACCUGUCACGCCCAAGAUGCGACCCUAUCCUCAAUUUGGCACGGGGGGCUCGCCAGGGAUAGAAGCGCAUCUCGUCGUGUCGCAAGAAUGUAUAUCGAUACAAGUACAUGUACUGAAAAGAAGAGAUAUACAGAUAGAAUUGGCAUACACUCGCCACAAGCUACAUCAGAGUAACAACAGUACAAUACAUAAUCAUCAUGAAGAAGAGCAGGGUCCGACUACGGAUGAAAACAAACAAUAAAAGAAGAACGACGUCCAUCCUUGCUAUCCCAGGCUACCGGCCUGGAACCCGUCCUAGAUCGAUGAAGAAGAAGAAGAAGAAGCAACUCCAAAUGAACAAUCAACGCGCUCGCGUCAAGUAACCUUUACCUAUACCUGCAACUGGUGUUGUAGUAAUCUGUGAGCCACAGGGGACUCAGCAAUCUCAUUUCCAAAGGUAUCAAGACUAGCAAAGCUUAAUAGGUGAGGUAUGGUUAAGUGGUGAGGUUGUAGCAGCGGCUAAGCAUAUAUUUUGGUGGCUAAACUUACGAGUACAAGGAAUAAAAGGGGGAAGAUCUACGCAUAGCGGACGUGAUCUACGGUUGAUCAAAUGAAUGAUCCUGAACACCUACCUACGUCAGACAUAACCCCACCGUGUCCUCGAUCGGAGAAGGAACUUCGAAUGAGACAGUCACGGUUACGCACACAGUUGGCAUAUUUUAAUUAAGUUAACUUCAAGUUAUCUAGAACCAGUGUUAGACAAAGUUUCCAUGUUGCCACAUAACUGCGGGCACGGCUUUCCGAAAAGAUUUAACACUGCAGGGGUGCUCCAACUAGUCCAUCACAAAUUACCACAAGCUGCAUAGAAAUCCUCAAUCAUGAAGCUCGUGAUCUCGUCGGAUUCCCUAGUGGAAAACCUCAACUCUGAGAUUACCCAAAGCAUCACCGGAAUCCCGAUGCACAAGAUAUUUCAUCAAAGGUAAAACUAAUCCACCAAGGCCGCCCAACGUGUCGACGAUCCCGAUAGGAGCCGCGUAUCUCGUUCUCAGGACACGACGGAUGAGCGAUGGUUACCACGCCAAACGCCGAGUUGCCCCGGGUAGCGUUAAUAAGCUGCUCUGUUUUGGACCAACACUCAUGAGGAGCACUCGCCCGGGGGUUGAUUAAAUUAUCCUCGGGGUCCGGAAAGUCCCUAUGCAAUUUUAUUAGGUGAUUAGGCAAAUGUAGUACCAAAGUUGGGCCUUGCCAGACCAGCUUUAAUCUAAAACGAAUUAUCAAGGGGGUCCCCAUAACAACCCCGAUCGUGUCAGGAGUGCACAAUUAUGGAACAUAACACCGGUAGCCGAAACUAAGGGGGCAAAGGUGGAACAUAACACCAGGCUAGAAAGGCCGAGCCUUCCACCUUUUACCAAGUAUAUAGGUGCAUUAAAUUAAAUAGCAUUAAUAUGGUGAUAUAACAAGGAACCCAUGUAAUCACAUAGAAGCAAGUGCACCAGCAACUAGCAACGCUAACACAAGGUUAAGUGGUGAGGUUGCAGCAGCGGCUAAGCAUAUAUUUUGGUGGCUAAACUUACGAGUACAAGGAAUAAAAGGGGGAAGAUCUAUGCAUAGCGGACGUGAUCUACGGUUGAUCAAAUGAAUGAUCCUGAACAAUGGUUAAACAUGGCAAGAGGUGAAGCGCAAUUAAACUACCUAUCUAGGCAUAUUUAAAUGAGGUCAGAAAUGACAUAUAGCACCUCCGAAACGACCUCACAAGUUAAUUUACAAUUCUGUCCAGAUCUGAACUAACACAUUUAAAUUGGUUGUUAAACAGCAACACAAAUAGGUUUACGUGAUUCUACGCGUUGUUACAAGCAAUUUACACAUAGAGAACAUCUCCAACGGAGCUACGGUUCAAAAGAUACAAGCACCGCAAGAUAUGAUGGCAUGAAUGCAAUAUGUGUGCAACGACGGUCACGAGCACUUCAAAACAUACAACCAGCAAGAUAAAAUGAAACUACACGAGAUUCUAAGCAAGUUUCACGUAGGACACGAUCAAAUCGGAGCCACGGUUCAACAACUACGAGCAAAACAAGAAAUCUCUACGAUCUGCCAAAAUCAGCCACAUAGCAUUUUCUAUACCCCACAACUACGAGCUACACAACUCCGAUAUACUCAACCAAGACACGGAACGAAGGAGGGCAAGAAGCACUACAACAAACAACUAACAACAACUAGCAUGGCAUCAUGAAUCACUAGGGAAAGAAGUCACAAAAUGGCAUCUCACACACUAUUUCAGACUUAGUGAAAAUUACACCUCACGAAAGUGCAGUUUUCGAUCUGAAGGCAUAUUGACAGCAGCAAAACCUAUAGCUACAGGACUCCAAAUGGCAUGAAAAUUCACAGCAUGCUAGAGAAACACAAGGUUAACAAGUAACUCCAUUGGACCAACCUCAAAAGAGCUACAGAUCACAAGAUAGAAGCAAAACAAAACAGCAACAAAAUAUAACAGAUUCCAGACUAAGAAAUAUUUCAGCUACUCCAAAACAGCACUAUUUCUAGCAACUUGAGAGCAAGCAAACCACACCUAAACAUGCAUUUCUAUUCCAACUAAAAAUACCAGGGGCUAGACUAAACAUCAAAGAACAACUCCCUAGUUGACAACUUAAUUAAACGAAGCACGAAAUAAAUCCUACGAAAAUGACAAGAGGGCAACAUGGCAAAAUAUCGCGCGAACUAACUUGCUCAAAAGAUAAAACUAAUUGCACAGAAAAAUCAUAUGGAUUUUUCUACCCCGGAAACAUAUAAAAUAUGUGGGGUUGCGCAACAAAAAUAAUGCCACACGAAAACGCAAGAUAUAAACCUAAACACGAAAAAUAAACUAGCGGCAAUGCCUACACGCAAAUAUACAAAUGACCGCUCUAAAAUACAUGGAAAAUAGGUUCCUAAAACAUGGACAUUUCUACUACGACAUUCGGGCUAACCGGACUCGCGCAAAAAAUAAAUACGGGCACCAUCCUAUCUAGACAGCACGUAAACCUAGGCAUUAGGCACGCUAAACUAAAUCAAACAAAUAUGCAAGUCGCACAAACGUAAUCUACGCGUAAAACUACAUGAAAUCCAUAUGCUACACGCCUCGUUCCGACACACGGUUAAAAGUUACGGGCAAAAGAAUAAUCGUCUAUUUCCUGGAAUUUAACUAAACCGAAAAAAACUACAUUAACUAACGGGCCUAACAGAGAGGGCGCAACCACUAUCCGACGCCUAGUGCGCGAAAUAGGCAGGCAAGGGGGGGAUUCACCUGAGGGCCACAUGGGCCAGGUCAGCGAGGUGAUUGGGCCGAGGGGCUCUACGGGAGGAGGCCGGCCCACAGGGGCAAGCUGGCCUUGCGGGAANNNNNNNNNNNNNNNNNNNNNNNNNNNNNNNNNNNNNNNNNNNNNNNNNNNNNNNNNNNNNNNNNNNNNNNNNNNNNNNNNNNNNNNNNNNNNNNNNNNNGCCUCACGCGAUGAAAAAAACAAAAAACGAGUUUUUUUCCUUCCGUAGUAGGCACGGGCCGUAGCCUACUUCGCGAAAGGCAAAACCAUAGGACCUCCCGUGGAAGCAAAAUCGUGCAAUACUACACGGUAAAAAAGAGAGCAAAAAACGCGUUUUUUUCCUUUUCGGAAGAGGCACGGGCGUGCCUCUCGUAAAGAUAAAACCGUGCCUUUUACGGAAGCAAAACCGUGCCUCUCACAAAAAAAUAGAAAACGCGCUUUUUUCCCUUUCGGGAGAGGCACGGGCGUUCCUUUCGCGGAAGCAAAACCGUGCCUCUCGUAAAAAAACGCGUUUUUCCUUCCGAAAGGCACGGGCGUGCCUUUACGGAAAGGCAAAACCGUGCCUUUCGUGCAAGCAAAACCGUGUCUCUCGCAAAAAAAAUGAAAACGCAUUUUUUUACUUUCCGAAAGGCACGGUUGUGCCUCUCGCGAAGGCAAGACCGUGCCUUUUGUUGAAGCAAAACUGUGCCUAUCCUAAAAAAAACAGAAAAAUCGCAUAAAAAACACGUUUUUUCGCACAAAAAAAAUUCAUCCAAAAGUUACGAAAGACCAGUGAAAAAACAUAACACUACAAAAAUCGGAAAAAACCCACUCAAAAAAAGAGAAAACGCGUGCGGAAAAAUAAAAAAACAAAAUCCAAAGAAAACGCUCAGAACGCGACACGUGGCGCCGGCUGGAAACACGCCACGGAAGCGAUCGCUGAAAGGCUCGCGAGGGAGCGCUCCCUAACUAGUUGCUCCCGAUUAAACGGUUCAAUCCAUGGCACGUUUUGUUAAGGACCAACUUACACUACGGAAUUACAUACGGUGAAAUAGCUAGACCAUCAUGGAUACAAAUAACAGUAGAGAGGGGCCAGAGGUAGGAGAAGAAGAGAGCCAUUGUGUCGUUGCGUGAUCUUUCAUGGAUGACUCGUCCAUCCCAUUGGCCCUCGUACUUGUUGUUGUUGCUGUAAUGGACAGACUGGGCCUAGCCCAUCACCAACAGCCCAAGAUGGGAAGGGGGCUCACAUCCCCUUUCCCUUGACAGCCGGCUUGUCCUCAAGCCGAUAGCGAGUAUCUGGAGGCAGAAGGGUGUGCAUCAUGUGUUGCUUCUUCGCUGAUUCAAGUAUCAUGCACGAUCCAGUCGCCGACAUCCCUCCUUCUGUGAGACUUGACUUGACCCCAAGUUGUCGUCGCUGCCGAGGACACUUGGAUCCCAUGGCGUUUGAUGUUCCUCGGCUUGGUUGAAGCCGCGGCGAUAGCCAAAGUCAAGGUAGACUGCAACGAUGGAGAGGUAGUAGUUUUGGCCGAUGAAAAUCCCGUCGAAGCAGAUGUCGAGGAAGUUGUCCCUUCCGGUAGAGUCUUGGUCGACUGAACUUUCCUCCAGGAUCCCAAAACAUGGGUAGAACAAGUGCUAGGAGCUGCUGAAACUCGUCUGUGGCACAAAUAGGUUCGCAAUUGACAUGUGAUUGAAAUCGCAAUAUAUGGAGCCGAGAAAUCAGGGCGUUUGAUCUCUGGCCCAAUAUGUUUAGAACACAUGAUAGUGGUCUGUCAAAUAGCAAUGUCGUCAACACCCUGUGCUAGCGUAGAAAGGAUGCAUCCGAGGUAUUAUCCCAUAAGAAGUCUUAUCACGGCACUUCUCCAAAUCAAUUCGAAUAUAAGACAAACGUGCUAACAUAUGGAUGCUUAGGCAUAAACAAUUGUUGCUCUUGAAUUCCUUGUUGUGUACUGCUUUUGUGUGCACUCCCUUCCUGUGAACGCUCUCAAUAGGCUCUUUAGUGGAACUAGUAAAAUAUACGUGCAACGCACUUAACGCAUGUCUUAUGAACACAUCUUAUAUAAAACCUAACAAAUUCCAGCCAACUAUAUCAUUAACUUCUUGAACUUUCACACGAAGUGCAUAGUAUCUAAUUUUUUUCUCGUGGAAAUAAUUUGAAACAUCACUCUUCAUAAAUAAACAUUCCUUUUAAAACAAAUAUCACACAUCUUUGCAUCAAUUAUAUAAUAUCUUAUCGAAAUGCACACUUUCCCAAUGCGUAGUGCCCAAACAAUUAUAAUGCAUUGUAAAUAAAUUUCAGUAUGUGAGCAAACUCUCCAGGCUAGCUUCGAACAAUGAAAGUCGGGUCAAAUAUACAACCAUUUGAUUUUUUAAUUAUAUUAGUAUUACAAUAUAAUUCAGUCAGAAAUUAGAUUUCCCUAGUGGGAUAAUGGACCAUUUAAAAGGUACAUGUCAAUUCUGCGUACACAUAUAAACAAAGUAGCAUUCAGAUAAGAAUUGUUUUCGUAUCAACAAAAUUAAGUGAAGAACUAUUAGAAAAAUCAAGUUUCAUCCAAAAAAAUGAGAAGAUGCCAUUGUCAAACUUUAAUGGUAACUAUCUUGAGCAACUAUGAAGACUGACAAAAGGAAAUGCCACACUAUAUGCUUCUUAUGAAUAUUGAUAUGUAAAAAAAAUCUGACAACAAAAUUUACCAAUUGAAUGCAAGGAUGACAUAUGAUAUUCAUUGACAGUGAAGAAUCAACAAAUCGCGGUUCUGCUCCUUCUUGGUCCUCAUCUCGUGGUCCAUGACCGUCACGCGGUUGGCCUUGGCCACGAUCUCCAUUGCCGGCUGCGCCCCCAACACGCUGUACCUUCCCUGUAGAUUGCAGAUUGCAGACCAACCAACAACCCGGCACGGGACAAAUUCAAAUGAUUCUGAUUUCAUCUUGGGGAGGAUAUGAACGGAUAACGAAUCAGCGAAUCCUGAGGCUGUACGGGCAAUGGUAGGGACGGACCACAUUGGUGCCCUCGGAUGCCUGCUCAACGGACUCGAAGAGGAAGUUGGGCGCCUCGCGGUCGUCCUCCCGGACGAAGGCAGCGGUAGGCCAACACUGACGUGAGGUGGUCGGAGAAGAUGCAGUGCCGGAGGGGCAGCAGCGUGUGCCCCGCCGCCGCCGACGACCUGAAGGCCCUCCUCCUCCUCCCGUACCGCUGCACAACCCGCAUUCAGUCAGCCAGUCAAUCAACAAUGGCGGCCUCGGGAAGGUCGGCCGGGGGGAUAAGUAAGACUGGGCUCACCGACGGCGUCGAGCUUCUGGAAGGCGGUGUCGGCACGACACACGACGCCGGGGCGCGUCGNNNNNNNNNNNNNNNNNNNNNNNNNNNNNNNNNNNNNNNNNNNNNNNNNNNNNNNNNNNNNNNNNNNNNNNNNNNNNNNNNNNNNNNNNNNNNNNNNNNNAAAGGGUGAUGCAGCAAAGUAGAGAUAAGUAUUCCCUCAGUUUGAGAACCAAGUUAGCAAUCCMSYAGRASUAKUGAGCCCCUCCUCGAUAGUCAUCAUCUUGGUAGCAGCGUCAACAUCCAGUGAAGGCCCCGUAGGGGCGACCGUGUGCUCAACCUCCAUGGCAACGUCGGCGUCGUUAGAGACCGCCAAGGCUGCCGCGUAUGGGCACAGCUGACGUCGCGGAUACGUCCAUUUUGCAUCAUGUUUUCAUGUUGAUAUUUAUCGCUUUUUGGGCUGUUAUUUCACUUCAGGGUACAAUACUUAUGCCUUUUCUCUCUUAUUUUGCAAGGUUUACAUGAAGAGGGAGAAUGCCGGCAGCUGGAAUUCUGGCCUGAAAAAGGAGCAAGUUUGAGAUACCUAUUCUGCGCAACUCCAAACGCCGUAAAAAUCAACGAGGAUUUUUUUCGGGAAUUAUAAAAAAUACUGGGACGAAGAAGUGCCACAGGGGCGCCAACAGGUGGCCACAAGCCUGCUAGGCGCGGCCACCCCCCUGGCCGCGCCUAGGGGGCUUGUGGGCACCCAGCUAGCCCUCUGGUUCCCCCCUUUGGCUACAAGAAGGGUUUCGUCCAGAAAAAAAUCAGGAGGAGGCUUUUUUCGUGGAUUCGCCGAUGCCACGAGGCGGAACUUGAGCAGAACCAAUCUAGAGCUCCGGCAGGACCAUCCUGCCGGGGAAACUUCCCUCCCGGAGGGGGAAAUCGUCGCCAUCGUCAUCACCAACACUCCUCUCAUCGGAGGGGACUCGUCACCAUCAACAUCUUCAUCAG
rnacentral:lncRNA from 1 species